rnacentral:lncRNA from 1 species
UGGCAGCUGGCCCGGGGUUCGGGGAGACCUGGGGAAGGGCCCAGGUUCGGGGUGUGUUAGAGCUGACAAGAUUUGCUGGUCUGAUGUGGAUGUGAGAGACAGGAGUCAGGGACAGCUCCAAGAAUUUCGACCGGAGACAAUGAAGCCUGGAGUUUCUACUUCCUGUGGGAAGAGCAGGAGAGGAGGACAGCUGAUGACGCAGGAGAGAUGAGCAAAGCUGCAGAGGAGCCUUGAGAUGGUGAAAGGGGAUGAGAAAUGACACAAGGGCCCCCGGGCAAUUCCACGGCUUGGGUACCGGAGCUCAAGGGGCCGCACGGGGGCUGGCCAGGACGAGGGCUUUGCUGCAUCGCCACCACCGUGAAACAUAAACCAUGAGGCUUCUGCCCCUGAAGGAGGGUGGGUAACAUCUGCAGCGCGGAGCAGGGAAGAAGGAGGCCCCGGAAUAAGGAGAGCUCCUGCAGACGGUGCAGGGAGCGGCAGUCUGUCAGGGCAAGAACGAUUCGGCCAGGUUUGGGGGAUGCGAGGGCAUCCCAGGUGGUGCCUGUGCCCCCAGGAUGUGUCCACGUUGGGCCUGACGCUGCACCCCACACGGCAAGGCUGCAGCAGAGUGGAAAUGGCG